rnacentral:rRNA from 1 species
UACGUAGGGGGCAAGCGUUGUCCGGAUUUAUUGGGCGUAAAGCGCUCGCAGGUGGUUCGUUGCGUCGUGCGUGAAAGACCCCGGCUCAACUGGGGAGUGUCGUGCGAUACGGGCGAACUGGAGGCCAGUAGGGGGAUGCGGAAUUCCGGGUGUAGUGGUGAAAUGCGUAGAUAUCUGGAGGAAUACCGGUGGCGAAGGCGG